UUCCAACCAUUUCAGAUUUCAUCUCCACUCCUCCCCCAAAAUUUCGAAUUCCCCUCCGCCUCCAACUCCGGCGCGUCGCUUCCCCUCUCCUCUCCUCUCCGAAACCUCAUCGGAUUCCUCUCCGCGCGGCUACCGGAGCGCCGCCUCUCUCUCCCCGCGCGCGCGCUGCGGCUCCGAGGGUCCUCGCCGGCUUCACCUCCGGCGGUGGCGUGCGCAACCACAGGCCCCGCGGCCGCUGGGCCAGCCAUGGCGGCCGCUGCAGGGGCAGCGGCGCGCGGUGGCGGUGUGAUCCCGGCCGGUAAGGGUGGCAGCCUUCGGUCGCCGGGGAAACCCGUCGUGCUCGCCGACAUCACCAACACCGGGAGGCCCAACCCUACUGGAUCCGUCCACGCCAUCGCUGACGUCCUCAAGGAGAACGCCAAGUUGCGUCAUCUGCUUGCUGAGCGAAACAAAGUCAUUGAAGUCAGCAGAGUAGAGUUGCAGAAAAUCCGCCUCGCACUGCAAGCCAUGCAGCAGAAGAACUUGCAACUCGUGCAGGCUAAUUCGCAGAUGUUUGCGGAAAUAAAUCAAGGAAAAGAUAGAAUCAAGUUAUUGCAACAUGAACUUGCAUGCACAAUAGCCGUGCUCAAAGUAAAGGGUUCUGAACUCGAGAAGAUGAGUAAGACUUCUAACAAUCAACAAAAUAGAGCAAAGAUAUUGGAGAAAAAAACCAGGUCUUCCAAAUGCGCACCAACUAAGGCUCAUCAAAUGGCUGCAGGUUCUAUUAGAGAACAUUUGGUUGAAAUUCAAUCAGCUGUGCCAUCUUAUACUAGCUGUCAUGAGCCUCCACAGGAUAAAACAAACAAGAGGUGCACAAAUAGGCGGAAGUCAGAAUCAUGUGAAGUUACAAUGGAUACCAACACAGUGCAACAUAGCUGCAGACCUCAUGUGGAAUAUAAUGGGUCAUCGCAUGAUGAUGAUCCAAGAAAAACUCGACGGAGAAGGUCUGCCAGAUUGAACCCUGGAUCUUUUGAGGUCGCAGAGAUCUGUGAUAAAUUGCAUGAGGAUGCUACUGUUCCUUCGGCUCCUAGUUCUAAUGUUCCAAAGCUGCAGGAACCAAAUGCUGGAAAAGAUAUGAUUUGUGGUGGCAAGAUGAAGUCAUUGCAAAAAGAACUUCCAUGUGAUGCAAUAGCGCAAGUAGUAGAGGCUCCAGAACUCAAGAAAAAACGAAGUAUGCACACACAAAAGGAAGUGUAUCUGGAGGAGAUACAAGAAGCAGGUUCCAGCGUUGCUGGAGGUGAGGCGCAUAAAUUUGAUAUUGAGGAUCCAGAGCCACCAAGAAAAUCAAUGCGUAUUGAUGCAAACAAACGGAAGCUGGAAUCAUUUGAGAGUCGAUUGGCCUCGAACAAAGAGGACUGCAUCAAUGCCAUAUGCGACUCAACUUCAAGCGUGCCAAUUCAGCAUGAACAAAAGAGAAAAUUGUCAAGGAGAAAAUCCUCAAGACUGGACCCUGGACCUUGGGAGGUCACAAAUGGCACUUUUGAAAUUGUCCAGGAAGAUACAGUUGCCCCGUCUGCUCCUUCCAGUUCAAAUGCUUUGAUCGAGCAGACCAAAAAUGAUAUGCAAAACGACCGCAGUUGCUCGACUAAACCUUCUGACGAGCAGGUGAUAGGUAGAAGAUCUUCAGUUGGGAGGCCCUCAAGACGGGCAGCAGAAAAGAUAGUCUCCUACAAGGAGGUGCCCUUGAAUAUUAAGAUGCGACGACCAUGAUCCCCACUUGCAUGCAAAGAGCACAAACACCAUUGGCAUUUAUUUUAUGGUGUAGAAUCAAGUUUGUUGUGUAUCUAUCUGUUUUGGUCGCUGUCAAUAGGUAGGUUAGCUCCUCUAUCUACCCCAACAUGGAUACUCACCCUGCAUCCCAGUUUCAAACUGACCAUGGAAUUUAUCUGAUUUAGCCUCAGUCUGGACUGAUGAUGCCGAUAACAACCAGCAAACCAUUGUUCCUGUUCUGAUGAAGUAGAGACCAGACAACAAUAAUGUGAUUUCCAGACAAGAAAAGAAAAUAAGAAAAUAGAAGCAUUCGGGCACGCGAAGAGUAUACCCAACGCAACCACCUCAGUUGGAUUUCCCCUCAACCGAUCAUCCCAACACCCAAAGAAAAGCAUCCGGUUGCGAAAUCAAAUCACAAACGAAUGCAUCAAGAACACGAGAAAGAAAGAAAGCAAGAAAGAACAGGGAGCUUCCGAAAUCCGGGAGUUUACUCUACUCACCUCGAAGUCUGCCGGUGUUGUCUCGAGCUCCGCAACCCCACCAAAAUCGAGCCUCUCUGCGCCUUCGAGUUCCUCCACGCACAUGCCGCUGCCUGCCGCCACCGAGCCUGAAAAACCAACCGCAGCAGCUGCCGCUGCCGCUGCAGAAUCCUGGUCGGAGCAGAGGAGGAGGAGACCGAAUCGGAGACGGAGAAGAAGAAGAAGAGCGGAAUCCGAGCGGAGCAACAAUGGAAAGGAGAGGAGAGAUUCUUGGGAAUAUCUAAAAAAACCGAGUUUAAUACGGAGGAGGAGAUUAUUAAGCGAAGGCGAUUUUGAU